GACGAACCGUGCGAACGUUGUUCGGAAUCACUGGGCUUAAAGGGCGCGUAGGCGGUCGGGCAAGUCCGGGGUGAAAUCCUGCAGCUUAACUGUAGAAGUGCCUUGGAUACUGCCCGGCUCGAGGGAGGUAGGGGUCUGUGGAACUUCUGGUGGAGCGGUGAAAUGCGUUGAUAUCAGAAGGAACGCCGGUGGCGAAAGCGGCAGACUGGACCUCUUCUAACGCUGAGGCGCGAAAGCUAGGGGAGCAAACGGG
rnacentral:rRNA from 1 species